UGUCAUUCCUGGUGCGGUUGU
rnacentral:siRNA from 1 species